rnacentral:rRNA from 1 species
UAGUGGCGAACGGGUGAGUAACACGUGGNCAAUCUGCCCUUCACUCUGGGACAAGCCCUGGAAACGGUGGUCUAAUACCGGAUAUCACUCCUGCAGGCAUCUGCGGGAGUUGAAAGCUCCGGCGGUGAAGGAUGAGCCCGCGGCCUAUCAGCUUGUUGGUGAGGUAAUGGCUCACCAAGGCGACGACGGGUAGCCGGCCUGAGAGGGCGACCGGCCACACUGGGACUGAGACACGGCCCAGACUCCUACGGGAGGCAGCAGUGGGGAAUAUUGCACAAUGGGCGAAAGCCUGAUGCAGCGACGCCGCGUGAGGGAUGACGGCCUUCGGGUUGUAAACCUCUUUCAGCAGGGAAGAAGCGAAAGUGACGGUACCUGCAGAAGAAGCGCCGGCUAACUACGUGCCAGCAGCCGCGUUAAUACGUAGGGCGCAAGCGUUGUCCGGAAUUAUUGGGCGUAAAGAGCUCGUAGGCGGCUUGUCACGUCGGGUGUGAAAGCCCGGGGCUUACCCCCGGGUCUGCAUUCGAUACGGCCUAGCUAGAGUGUGGNAGGGGAGAUCGGAAUUCCU